rnacentral:rRNA from 1 species
AUUGAACGCUGGCGGAAUGCUUUACACAUGCAAGUCGAACGGCAGCACGGACUUCGGUCUGGUGGCGAGUGGCGAACGGGUGAGUAAUAUAUCGGAACGUGCCCAGCCGUGGGGGAUAACAUAGCGAAAACUACGCUAAUACCGCAUACGAUCUACGGAUGAAAGCGGGGGAUCGCAAGACCUCGCGCGAUUGGAGCGGCCGAUAUCAGAUUAGGUAGUUGGUGAGGUAAAGGCUCACCAAGCCGACGAUCUGUAGCUGGUCUGAGAGGACGACCAGCCACACUGGGACUGAGACACGACCCAGACUCCUACGGGAGGCAGCAGUGGGGAAUUUUGGACAAUGGACGCAAGUCUGAUCCAGCCAUUCCGCGUGCAGGACGAAGGCCUUCGGGUUGUAAACUGCUUUUGUACAGAACGAAAAGGUCUCUAUUAAUACUAGGGGCUCAUGACGGUACUGUAAGAAUAAGCACCGGCUAACUACGUGCCAGCCGCCGCGGUAA